CUGCGGAAGGAUCAUUAUCGAGCGAAUCCAAAACGAAAAAGUCUCCCAACGUGCAUACCGCCCAUUUGCAUGUUGUUGUGAGCCGCACGGAAACUCGUACACGUUUGUGGUGGUGAUAGCCGUCUGCUGUGCGUUCGUUGGGCAGACAAUGGCUUACGAGUGGCUGUGCGCUUGUUGAACAACGGUGACCAAUUUGGCGUCUACGCCGUAUCUAGCUUCCGCCUGGACCGUCGGUAGCGAUGAAAGAUGCGGAGGAAGUUCCUCUUCGGAGUUGAGCAGACUUAAUGAGCCACGCUCUAGGUGGCCGCCAGAACCCAAAACACACCAAUUGUUGUCAUUUGACAUUGUUGAUGAUGAUUAUGUACAAAUCUUGGCGGUGGAUCACUCGGUUCGUGGAUCGAUGAAGAACGCAGCCAGCUGCGAUAAAUAGUGCGAAUUGCAGACACAUUGAGCACUAAGAAUUCGAACGCACAUUGCGCUAUCGGGUUCAUUCCCGAUGGCACGUCUGGCUGAGGGUCGAAUUGUGCUAGAGCAUCUUUGCAAUCACUUCUCUCAGAUUGUGAUUGUGAAGCAUUCGGCGAGCGAUUGUUGUCGUGUUGUUGCUUAAGGUGACGAUUGAAUCGGCACCGCGCGACACGACACGGUUCCUUGCUUAGUUUGAUGAACAAAAAGACGUCCCGCACACCCAACGUCUGCUAAACACUAGACUAGAGCUGGUGUCUAGAGGUGUUGGGUGUGAUUUUGAUGGUCACAAAAGUGCCGCCAUUUCAUAGUGGCAACAACCAGCAUACGUCUAUGAUACUAGUAGGUUGGCUGGUUGAUGAAACGGCAACGGAAUGUGCGCAUGCAUGUGAUCGAGAAGCGAUAAUGUUCGUAUUUGACCUCAGCUCAGUCGUGAUUACCCGCUGAAUUUAAGCAUAUAAUUAAGCGGAG
rnacentral:rRNA from 1 species